AGGUCCUUUACAAUCAGCGACUGGAUCAUCCCAACGUUAUAGAAGAUCCAAAAACAUCUCAAAAACAGAAGAAUUGUCAAACAAUUUUACCUUGAUGUUAAACAAAACAGAUAUUCAACAUGAUGACUCUUUGCAAAACGUUGUCGAUUUGUUGCAAGACACUCUUGCCAGGUACAAAGAGAUAUCGUUCACAGAAGUUCAGCAUAAAAUAAUAA